GUGCCAGCAGCCGCGGUAAUACGUAGGUGGCAAGCGUUGUCCGGAUUUAUUGGGCGUAAAGCGCGCGCAGGUGGUUUCUUAAGUCUGAUGUGAAAUCCCACGGCUCAACCGUGGAGGGUCAUUGGAAACUGGAAGACUUGAGUGCAGAAGAGGAAAGUGGAAUUCCAAGUGUAGCGGUGAAAUGCGUAGAGAUUUGGAAGAAUACCAGUGGCGAAUGCGACUUUCUGGACUGCAACUGACGCUGAGGCGCGAAAGCGUGGGGAGCAAACAGGAUUAGAUACCCUGGUAGUCCAUGCCGUAAACGAUGAGUACUAAGUGUUAGGGGUAUUCCGCCCCUUAGUGCUGCAGCUAACGCAUUAAGCACUCCGCCUGGGGAGUACGACCGCAAGAUUAAAACUUAAAGGAAUUGGCGG
rnacentral:rRNA from 1 species